rnacentral:sRNA from 3 species
CCCUAGCCCCGAUAGCAGUGAAAUCCUUUUGUGCUGGGGGUCGGCACAAAAGAUUGGAACGAAUAGCGGGAAGAGCU